rnacentral:rRNA from 1 species
AGCAGCCGCGGUAAUUCCAGCUCCAAUAGCGUAUAUUAAAGUUGUUGCAGUUAAAAAGCUCGUAGUUGAAUUUCGGGAUCAAUAUGUCGGUCGUGCCUCGGUACGUACUGGCGUCAUUGGUUUCUCCCUUCUGAAGAACCGCGAUGUCAUUAAUUUGGUGUCGUGGGGAAUCGGGACUGUUACUUUGAAAAAAUUAGAGUGUUUAAAGCAGGCUCGCGCUUGAAUACAUUAGCAUGGAAUAAUGAAAUAGGACGUUUGAUUCUAUUUUGUUGGUUUCUAGGAUCGACGUAAUGAUUAAUAGGGAUAGUUGGGGGCAUUAGUAUUCAAUUGUCAGAGGUGAAAUUCUUGGAUUUAUUGAAGACUAACUACCGCGAAAGCAUUUGCCAAGGAUGUUUUCAUUAAUCAAGAACGAAAGUUAGGGGAUCGAAGGCGAUCAGAUACCGUCGUAGUCUUAACCAUAAACUAUGCCGACUAGGGAUCGGAUGAUGUUGAUUUUUUAAUGACUCAUUCGGCGCCUUAA